CAAUAGCGUAUAUUAAAGUUGUUGCAGUUAAAAAGCUCGUAGUUGGAUGUCUGGCUCUGUGUUGCGGUCCACCGCAAGGUGAGCACUGCGAUGUGGGGUCUUCCUCUUGAAUGCUGCGUGUGCUCUUAGUUGAGUGUGCGUGGGGUUUGGGAUCUUUACUUUGAAAAAUUAGAGUGUUCAAAGCAGGCGAUUGCUUGAAUAUAUUAGCAUGGAAUAAUGGAAUAGGACUUGGGUUCUAUUUUGUUGGUUUCUAGGACCGAGGUAAUGAUUAAUAGGGGGUAGUUGGGGGCGAUUCGUAUUAAUUGUCAGAGGUGAAUACUUGGAUUGUUAAGAACGGACUACUGCGAAAGCAUUUGUCCAAGGAUGUUUUCUAUUGUAUCAAGAACGAAAGUUAAGGGGAGUCGAAGACGAUUAGAUACCA
rnacentral:rRNA from 1 species